GAUGAACGCUGGCGGUAUGCCUAAUACAUGCAAGUCGAGCGACCACACAAUGAGCUCUUUCCCCUACGGUUGGCGACGGACGGACGGGUAACACAUGGAUAACAUACUUAUAUGACUGGGAUGAUAUCGGGGAAACGCUGCCACUAAUGGCUCAUAUAUCCUACCGCAUAGUUCAGUAGAUCUUGGCACCUUUCCCGACACAUAUAGCCGGUUCCGCGUCGCAUUAGCUAGUUGGUAAGGUACCGGCUUACCAAGGCGACGAUGCGUAGCUGACCUGAGAGGAUGAUCAGCCACACUGGAACUGAGACACGGUCCAGACUCCUACGGGAGGCAGCAGUAGGGAAUAUUGCGCAAUGGGCGCAAGCCUGACGGAGCAACGCCGCGUGAGUGAAGAAGGUCUUCGGAUCGUAAAGCUCUGUUAUUAGGAAAGAACAAAAGUGUAAGUAACCAUGGAUGUUUUGACGGUACCUAAACAGAAAGCAACGGCUAACUUCGUG
rnacentral:rRNA from 1 species